ACCAGACUCCUACGGGAGGCAGCAGUGGGGAAUAUUGGGCAAUGGGCGCAAGCCUGACCCAGCAACGCCGCGUGAAGGAAGAAGGCUUUCGGGUUGUAAACUUCUUUUCUCAGGGACGAAGCAAGUGACGGUACCUGAGGAAUAAGCCACGGCUAACUACGUGCCAGCAGCCGCGGUAAUACGUAGGUGGCAAGCGCUAUCCGGAUUUACUGGGUGUAAAGGGCGUGUAGGCGGGACUGCAAGUCAGAUGUGAAAACCACGGGCUCAACCUGUGGCCUGCAUUUGAAACUGUAGUUCUUGAGUACUGGAGAGGCAGACGGAAUUCCUAGUGUAGCGGUGAAAUGCGUAGAUAUUAGGAGGAACACCAGUGGCGAAGGCGGCCUGCUGGGCUUUUACUGACGCUGAGGCUCGAAAGUGUGGGAGCAAACAGGAUUAGAUACCCUUGUAAGU
rnacentral:rRNA from 1 species